rnacentral:rRNA from 1 species
UUCGCAAUGCCCGAAAGGGUGACGAAGCGACGCCGCGUGUGGGAAGAAGGCCUUCGGGUUGUAAACCACUGUCGGGAGUUAAAAAAUGCAAGGAUAUUAAUAGUGUCUUUGUUUGACUAAGGCUCCGGAGGAAGCCACGGCUAACUCUGUGCCAGCAGCCGCGGUAAUACAGAGGCGGCAAGCGUUGUUCGGAAUUAUUGGGCGUAAAGAGCACGUAGGCGGCUAUGUAAGUCGGUUGUGAAAGCCUUCCGCUCAACGGGAGAACAGCAUCCGAUACUACAUGGCUUGAGUGCGGGAGGGGAGAGUGGAACUUCUGGUGGAGCGGUGAAAUGCGUAGAUAUCAGAAGGAACGCCGGCGGCGAAAGCGGCUCUCUGGCCCAUAACUGACGCUGAGUGUGCGAAAGCUAGGGGAGCAAACGGGAUUAGAUACCCCGGUAGUCCUAGCCGUAAACGAUGGGCACUAAGUAGAGGGGUUUU